rnacentral:rRNA from 1 species
UGGGGGAUAUUAGGCAAUGGGGGAAACCCUGACCUAGCGACGCCGCGUGAGGGAAGAAGGUUUUCGGAUUGUAAACCUCUGUCUUCGGGGAAGAUAAUGACGGUACCCGAGGAGGAAGCCCCGGCUAACUACGUGCCAGCAGCCGCGGUAAUACGUAGGGGGCAAGCGUUAUCCGGAUUUAUUGGGUGUAAAGGGUGCGUAGGCGGGGAGGCAAGUUGAAUGUGAAAUACCGUGGCUCAACCACGGGGCUGCGUUCAAAACUGUCUUUCUUGAGUACAGCAGAGGCAAGCGGAAUUCCCAGUGUAGCGGUAAUAUGCGUAGAUAUUGGGAGGAACACCAGUGGCGAAGGCGGCUUGCUGGGCUGAAACUGACGCUGAGGCACGAAAGUGUGGGGAGCAAACA